AUGAACGCUGGCGGCGUGCCUAAUACCUGCAAGUCGAGCGAACAGACGAGGAGCUUGCUCCUCUGACGUUAGCGGCGGACGGGUGAGUAACACGUGGAUAACCUACCUAUAAGACUGGGAUAACUUCGGGAAACCGGAGCUAAUACCGGAUAAUAUAUUGAACCGCAUGGUUCAAUAGUGAAAGACGGUUUUGCUGUCACUUAUAGAUGGAUCCGCGCCGCAUUAGCUAGUUGGUAAGGUAACGGCUUACCAAGGCAACGAUGCGUAGCCGACCUGAGAGGGUGAUCGGCCACACUGGAACUGAGACACAGUCCAGACUCCUACGGGAGGCAGCAGUAGGGAAUCUUCCGCAAUGGGCGAAAGCUUGACGGAGCAACGCCGCGUGAGUGAUGAAGGUCUUCGGAUCGUAAAACUCUGUUAUUAGGGAAGAACAAAUGUGUAAGUAACUAUGCACGUCUUGACGGUACCUAAUCAGAAAGCCACGGCUAACUACGUG
rnacentral:rRNA from 1 species